CCUACGGGCGGCAGCAGUGAGGAAUAUUGGUCAAUGGGCGCGAGCCUGAACCAGCCAAGUAGCGUGAAGGAUGACUGCCCUACGGGUUGUAAACUUCUUUUAUCAAGGAAUAAAGUGAGGCACGUGUGCCUUUUUGUAUGUACUUUAUGAAUAAGGAUCGGCUAACUCCGUGCCAGCAGCCGCGGUAAUACGGAGGAUCCGAUCGUUAUCCGGAUUUAUUGGGUUUAAAGGGAGCGUAGAUGGGUUGUUACGUCAGUUGUGAAAGUUUGCGGCUCAACCGUAAAAUUGCAAUUGAUACUGGCAGCCUUGAGAACAGUUGAGGUAGGCGGAAUUCGUGGUGUAGCGGUGAAAUGCUGAGAUAUCACGAAGAACUCCGAUUGCGAAGGCAGCUUACUAAACUGCCACUGACAUUGAUGCUCGAAAGUGUGGGUAUCAAACAGGAUUAGAUACCCCGGUAGUC
rnacentral:rRNA from 1 species